rnacentral:rRNA from 1 species
CCUACGGGAGGCAGCAGUGGGGAAUUUUGGACAAUGGGCGCAAGCCUGAUCCAGCAAUGCCGCGUGCCGGAUGGAGGCUUUCGCCUUGUUAACUGCUUUUGUACGGAACGAAACGGUCCGCCUUAAUACGGUGGGCUAAUGACGGUACCGUAAGAAUAAGCACCGGCUAACUACGUG